rnacentral:rRNA from 1 species
GAUGAACGCUGGCGGCGUGCCUAAUACAUGCAAGUCGAGCGAACGCACGAUAAGCUUGCUUCUCUGAUGUUAGCGGCGGACGGGUGAGUAACACGUGGAUAACCUACCUAUAAGACUGGGAUAACUUCGGGAAACCGGAGCUAAUACCGGAUAAUAUUUUGAACCGCAUGGUUCAAAAGUGAAAGACGGUCUUGCUGUCACUUAUAGAUGGACCCGCGCUGCAUUAGCUAGUUGGUAAGGUAACGGCUUACCAAGGCAACGAUGCAUAGCCGACCUGAUAGAGUGACAGGCACACCUGGACCUGGGCAACGGCCAAGACCCCAAGGGGAGGAAGAAGUAGGAAUACUUGCGCAAUGGGGGAAAGCCUGACGGAGCAAAGCCGGGUGAGUGAUGAAGGUUUUCGGUUCGUAAAACUCUGUUAUUAGGGAGAAAAAUAUGUGUAAGUAACUGUGCGCAUCUGGACGGUACCUAAGCAGAAAGACACGGCAAACUACGU